UCCUGGUUAACCCAGGCAGUCUCUCUAGAGUGCCCAACUGAAUGCUGGCAACUAAAGAUAGGGGUUGCGCUCGUUGCGAGACUUAACCCAACAUUUCACAACACGAGCUGACGACAGCCAUGCAGCACCUCUCACUGAAUUCCCCGAAGGGCACCCUCGGCAUUACCCAAGGUUCUCAGGAGUUCAAGCCCAGGUAAGGUUUUGCGCGUUGCUUCGAAUUAAACCACAUGAUCCACCGCUUGUGCGGGCCCCCGUCAAUUCCUUUGAGUUUUAGUCUUGCGACCGUACUUCCCAGGCGGAGUACUUAAUGCGUUAGCUUCGUCACGGAAGGAGUCAAUACCCCCCAUAACUAGUACUCAUCGUUUACGGCGUGGACUAC
rnacentral:misc_RNA from 1 species